AUUGAACGCUGGCGGCAGGCCUAACACAUGCAAUUCGAACGAGUGGCGGACGGGUGAUUAAUUUCUGGGAACCUGCCCGAUGGAGGGGGAUAACUACUGGAACCGGUAGCUAAUACCGCAUACAAUCGGUUUUCCCCCGAUGGGAUUAGCUAUGAGGUGGGGUAACGGCCCACCUAGGCGACGAUCCCUAGCUGGUCUGAGAGGAUGACCAGCCACACUGGAACUGAGACACGGUCCAGACUCCUACGGGAGGCAGCAGUGGGGAAUAUUGCACAAUGGGCGCAAGCCUGAUGCAGCCAUGCCGCGUGUAUGAAGAAGGCCUUCGGGUUGUAAAGUACUUUCAGCGAGGAGGCGUUACUCGCAGAAGAAGCACCGGCUAACUCCGUGCCAGCAGCCGCGGUAAUUC
rnacentral:rRNA from 1 species